GUUUGCCUUAUCAACUGUCGAUGGUAGGUUAUGCGCCUACCAUGGUUGUAACGGGUAACGGGGAAUCAGGGUUCGAUUCCGGAGAGGGAGCCUGAGAAACGGCUACCACAUCCAAGGAAGGCAGCAGGCGCGCAAAUUACCCACUCCCGGCACGGGGAGGUAGUGACGAAAAAUAACGAUACGGAACUCAUACGAGGCUCCGUAAUCGGAAUGAGUACACUUUAAAUCCUUUAACGAGGAUCUAUUGGAGGGCAAGUCUGGUGCCAGCAGCCGCGGUAAUUCCAGCUCCAAUAGCGUAUAUUAAAGUUGUUGCGGUUAAAAAGCUCGUAGUUGGAUCUCGGUUUCACUCAGGUGGUACACCUUGCGGUGUUCACUAUCUGGGUGGACGUUUCUGUUGGUUCGCUCUUGGUGCUCUUCAUCGGGUGCCAUUUGGUGGCCAGCACGUUUACUUUGAAAAAAUUGGAGUGCUCAAAGCAGGCGUUACAGCCUGAACAUUAGUGCAUGGAAUAAUGGAAUAGGAUCUCGAUUCUAUUUCGUUGGCUUUCGGAGUCGAGGUAAUGAUUAAUAGGGACAGACGGGGGCAUUCGUACUGCGACGUUAGAGGUGAAAUUCUUGGAUCGUCGCAAGACGAACUACUGCGAAAGCAUUUGCCAAGAAUGUUUUCAUUAAUCAAGAACGAAAGUUAGAGGCUCGAAGGCGAUCAGAUACCGCCCUAGUUCUAACCAUAAACGAUGCCAACCGGCGAUCCGUCGUCGUUAAUUGAAUGACUCGACGGGCAGCCUCCGGGAAACCAGAGUGUUUGGGUUCCGGGGGAAGUAUGGUUGCAAAGCUGAAACUUAAAAAAUUGACGGAAGGGCACCACCAGGAGUGGAGCCUGCGGCUUAAUUUGACCCAACACGGGAAAUCUCACCAGGCCCGGACACCGGAAGGAUUGACAGAUUGAGAGCUCUUUCUUGAUUCGGUGGGUGGUGGUGCAUGGCCGUUCUUAGUUGGUGGAGCGAUUUGUCUGGUUAAUUCCGAUAACGAACGAGACUCUGGCCUACUAACUAGAAGGUCUAUCCUUUAUGGGUAGGCCUCUGCUUCUUAGAGGGACGGGCGGCGUUUAGCCGCACGAGAAUGAGCAAUAACAGGUCUGUGAUGCCCUUAGAUGUUCUGGGCUGCACGCGCGCUACACUGAAGGAAUCAGCAUGUUCUCCCCUCCCUGAAAUGGGCGGGUAACCCGUUGAAACUCCUUCGUGAUGGGGAUUGGAGAUUGUAAUUAUUCUCCAUGAACGAGGAAUUCCCAGUAGGCGCGAGUCAUCAGCUUGCGUCGAUUACGUCCCUGCCCUUUGUACACACCGCCCGUCGCUACUACCGAUCGAGUGA
rnacentral:rRNA from 1 species